GAACACGCAUUUGAUCUAAUGAGACAUUUGUCUCUGCAUUUAUUGCCAGUGGUAAUUUGGGUGAUCAGACUGGCAAAGCAGUUGGCCCCUCCCUACUUCACUGCUCCAAUAGUGUGCUUCUCAAAGCACUCACUUUUGGAAGAGAAUGACUGUUCCUGAUAAAGAAGGGCCAUUGUUUGGUCAUCUGGUCAUGGGUAGAAAACUAGGAGUAUAGAGUUAGGUGUUCAUUUCCUUGCUCCAACUUUUAUAAAAAAAUUGAAGUCAAUUAUCCAUUACUGCUCUUU
rnacentral:snRNA from 1 species